rnacentral:lncRNA from 1 species
AUAACUUUUUGUUUUGAAAUCAUCUUGUCAUGCAAAAACUACAUCUGAAUUUUUUAAAUUUGAAAAUUCUUUGACACUCGGCAAAGAACUUGUAACACCCAAAAAUUUACAAAUUUUGAAAUAGGUGGAAAUGAUUUAAUUCUGUAUUUUUGUGUUCAUGGAACAUAGAGAACUAAUAUUUUUCAUCGAAUUAAAAUAUGUUAUAGGAUUUAGCAACUUGUUUGUGCAUUUAUUUUUGGGGCAUUUGUUUUAUUGUUUGAUGUGUGUUUGACAAAAGUUCAAAAUAUUUCAAACAGAUUUAAAAAGGAUUUUGAAACGAGUUUUAAAUACCUUUUGGAAUAAAAAAAUAAAAAAAAGAAAAGGAAAACCUCUCCCUUCCUCAAUUCUGGCCCGACGGCCUACUCCUCUUCUUGCUCUGGCCCAAGUGGAAAACCCCUCCCCUUUUCCUUCUCACUGCGGCCCAAACUCCCUCCCCUCUCUUGGCCCGUCGCUCGGCCCAAGCCGCGAAUCCUUCUCCCCAGCUCCGGCCCAAGCUUCCGCUGUAGCCCACGAGUGCGCUCCUCUCCCUCCCCUUUUCUUUCUUCCACUGCCAGCCAGUCCCCACCUGUCAGCGAUAUCCUCAUCUCCUACCUGGCGUCGGGGGCGAGCAGGACUCUGCUCCGACCCAAAACACCGAGAUCCGCUUUAAAUCUUUCGCGGAUUUUGGUUCUAUAAAUGGGAUCGGGAAUCGCACCGCCUUCCUUUCCUCCCUGUUUGCGUGGACGCGAGCUCCAUCCUGCCCUAUCCUAACUUGCAAGCGCCGCCGCCAUCCUGCAGUUUGACACCAAGCGCGGAUCAACGUUUCCUCCGCGGUUGUGCCUCCGUAAGCUUGAUGCCGGGCCUCGUACCGAACUUGUGAAGUCGCCCACACUCCUCUUUCUAUUUUUCGUACUCUAAGUACCCGGCUAACCUUCGCCGAACUACGCAGGAGCCCCGCC